GAGGCAUUGCCUCAAGGGAGGGUCCUUUCUUUGUGAUAACUCUAGCUUGUGUCAAGUUGACACACAAAACCACCUGUACACUUAUAAGUUACCCGGUGUGGGUAUUGUUACAGCUAGAGAAAUGGACUGAGACACCGCUGGGCCUGGGCUACUUCACUGUUCACCAUCUGGCCAAGGAACCUGGGUUGGAAGCAAAUUUGGAUACUUCGAAGCCAAGAGGACAGCCCCUGUCAUAUCUGAUGUUCAAAGUCAGCUCCUCUGUAGCCCAGUUUUCCUUUUCUUUUUUUUAAAUUAAACUAUUUACAUCUUAAA